rnacentral:lncRNA from 1 species
CCCUAUAAGGUCUGCAAUAUUGAUCAAGACUACGAGCCCCAAAACCCCCAAAUGCAAAUGCGACUCCCGCCUUUUUUGAACGGGUACAUACAGCAUGGCAUCCCUCUGUGCUACACUAUAGCACUGUACUGUGUGUCAAGGCAUGCAGUGUGUGCGUACAACCAGCCAGCUGCCAUGCAUGCCGUAUGAGACACACACAAGACAGCAAGACAGCCAUUCCUAUCAACAGCUACAGGAGCCAGAGCAGAGACAAAUCCUUUUAUUACUUUGUUUUCCCCUGCUAUUCUUCAAUAUGGGCAUCUGUUGACAUCUUUCGCCAAACAGUGGAUUCAAACACAUUGUGGCAACAGUAUAUUGACGUGAGACCAUGCAGAAAAUGCUACUUUCUCUCAACCUUCUGGAUCAGCAUUCAGCAGCGUAGCAGCCUCAUGACACAGUUGAAGCCUUUAUCGAAUUCUUUGCGUGCAUGUACCCUGGAUCAAGCAGCACUUGCAUUAUACAGGAGAUUCCACCCAAAAUCUAAACCAUGAGUCCCAGCUGAAGAGGAAUAUUUCCAAAAUGAGGUCUACACACACAGAGGUUACUUUCCCCUUCAUUAUAGAGAUACAGAGAGAGGGAGAGAGAGAGAUGGGGGGGGGGAGUGAGUUAUAGCCACGAACCUGAAUAGCUUAGCUGUAGAACUGAAAUGCCCAUUCAUGUCACUUGCCAUUUUGAUGAAUUACAGGGUUUACAAACAUACAUGUAGGCCUACAUUUUUACCCUUUGGGUAAAAGAUCUUGGUAUUUGCGUAUAUUUGUUAUUACUAUUUAUGACGUAGACCUGUUUCAUAAUGCUUAUGUAGUAGAUCAGUCUCGUGCUCACCCCCACCCCCUUCGUAUCGAAAUGUCAAUUCCUAAAACCUGUGGCAAAUUAUAUAAAUUGGUAAUAGAGAAAAAUUGAGUGAGGUAAAUGCAAUACAAAUCUAUUCCAAUCUUAAGCACUUAAGACUUGUUAAGGUAUGGCACGUGAACCGCCAAAAAAUUAAAAAAAUUGUGUCUUGAAAUAAAUGGGAAAGUAGUCCUGCAGCUCAUCAUAGUGACGUACAUUACCGAUUCAGCCAAUUUAAAAUGCCCAUAGGUUUAGUGAUCACAGCUUUCAACAAUCCAUAACCACCUUAUUUUGUGUCAGAUUUAAUGUGGUAUUUUUUAAAAGUAUAGUUGUCUGUUAAGGUUGGAUUUCUCUUUAAAAAGUGUAAAGGGUAAGCCCUAUGUAACAUAAUGUGAUGAGGCAAUUUUCGUUAUAAAACCAAAUCAAAGUGCCGCGGAACAAAUUAUUUCGUUCACCUGUUAAGAAUAAUUGUAUUUCGAUAGUCAGAAUGCGAAAUGCAAACAUGUGUUGUUAGGUAGGGCAACACAUAAUGUAUUCAAUUUGCAUUCUGACUAUUUAAAUACAUUUAUUGGUAAAAGGUGAAUUUAAUAAUUGGUAAUGAGGCACUUAACGAGGACCUAUUCAUUAAAUUUGAUAAUUACAAUACAACAAUGGCCUACAUGUAUUCAUAUGAAUGGGAAAUCUUUGAACUGUUAUGUCGUUUUCUGAGGGUUCAUAAUUUUAUAUGUUCAAGGAUUCAUAAUUCUACAAAUGAAGUAGGGUUCUUAAUUCUGAAAAUGAACUAGGAUUCAUAAUUCCAAAAAUGGAAUAUGGUUCAUAAUUUCGAAAAUUAAAUAGGGCUCAAUAUACUUCCAAAAGUUUAUUAUUCUGAAAAUGCAAAUAGAACCCUUUAUCCUUUUUGGAAUUACGAACCGUCAAUAUAAUGAAUCCUAUUUUAUAUUCAAAAUAAUACCAUUUCAUUUGCGGAAAUAUUAACCCUAUUUUAAUAUCGUUAUUAACGCCCCUUUUUCGAUUCCAGAAUUACGCACCCUAUUUAUUUUUCGUAAUUAUGAAAUCUAUUUCAUUUCUAAAUUCAAACCUUUUAAAAUAUGGACCAUAUUUCAUUUGUUUAUCAAAUGUCAGGAGGAAAAUUGAAAUUUGUCAUAAUACACUGUACUAUCAAGUUACAUUUAUUGAUGAACAGCACACUCUUUAGUUACCAUAAUAUCACUUGUCAAAAUAAUAAGGCCAUGAAUGAUUUUCUUUUGCUUGUGAAUGUAGUAGGCUUAUAUUAUGUAGUACACAAUAUUUAAUUUCCAAUUGCUGCAACUUUAUAUCAAUCCUUUACAUAUACUUUGACAAUCUACAGGUAAAAAUCAUGCUUUGAGUUAUCAUUUGUGAAUUAUUCUCCAAAUUGAAAUGCAUGAAUAAAGUACUUAAAUUUGUACAAAUGAACUUAUUCUCUAUGGUGGAAAAUUACAAAAGAAAUUUCUCAUCAAAAAUGCAUACUCAUUGUUUCUACUCAUGAUACUUACCGUAAGAAAACUUGUAAAUUGCCAAACCUACUCUUUUAAACAUCUACUCCAAAUUUUCAAGAUUGAUUUCUCUCUGUUAACUUUUAGACAAUAAUUAGACAAUUUAACAGUUUUUUUUGUGUCUUCUUUUGUUGUUGAAAUGUGUAAAAAAAAAAAAAUUAAAUCCUUUUUUAUUUAAGCUGUUAAACGUUCAUGUAAUUGUAAUCACUAUAUUAUGAUGUAUGAUAUUCUGACAGAUAAUAAAAGGAUACACUGUUAAGUGUUAAAUAUGAUAAAGAUGAA